rnacentral:lncRNA from 1 species
CACUUGUGGGCUAUUCAAUAGUAUUGUGCGGAGUAUCCUGAUUCCUGUGUCCAAUUGUCGAUAUCCGGCGUGAGCCGUGAUCUGGAUACGUACAGAGUAGGUGCAGUUCGAUCUGGGUACAUCUACAUCUCCAUCUACAUUGCAUAUGCGUACAUGAUGUGGUAUGUACGUACACCUGCUCUAGUCGAUGUUUGAUCGAGAUACGAUGCAAUCCGGUGAUAAGUACCAUUGCCGAGGCACAUAACGGAAUACUACGUCGUUUUUCAGUGUAGUAAGUUAACUAUCGGAGAGUCAUUGACAUCAUGAGCUGGUUCCUCCAUUUUCAAGUUCCAUCAUCAAAAGCUUCUUUGAAUCUCUCGAUGAAUGCUUUUCUCUGCACAACACUUGAGCUCCGCGGAGAAGAAUCUAUCAACAAGAAUGUAAGGGUAUACUCCGUACCCUUUCAAUGGAUGAGUUGCAGUCCCCAUCCAGUAACCACGGUCCGUACCGUGCUGAACCAAGAUAAAAUCAACGGGGCGGGGGGAUCGGGUAGUAUAUACAGACUCACAGAGAAGUAGAUUUUCCGCAUUUAUGCACAGUGUAUUAUCGUAUCGAUACGCAGAUUCGAUACCGGAUGAUCGGCCAGAUUGACAAGUGACGGCUGCGUAUCGACUAUGCCGCUUUGGGAGUAGAUUCCACUUUUUGUCUAGCUUGGACCAUGGAUAUAGAGGGUAUGCUGAUAUAGGUUAAUUUGAUAUAAAUGGGGAUGCUACAUACAAUAAAUAGAAUAGAUGAAGGCUGAGCGAUUUGAACGACGUUCUUGCAUGUGUGUGUGUGUGUGUGUGUGUGCGCUCCGUUCUGGAGGAAGCAAUCAUGUACAGAUGUCGUAUGACUACCUAGCUAGGUAGGCACGAUAGUCGACUUAACUGAAGUGGAAGGCCGAAAGAUUUACGGUCGUGGGAACCAACGUGGAAUAUAUACCUAGGUAGGAAGAUAUACAACUAUCACCUUCUUACCAGAGUCCGGUCUGGUCGCACGAUUCAACGCUUUAUCUGUAGUGCUACCUACUAUAAAAUCGUAUACGCAUGGUAGACGAGAUAGGAAAUAACUUGCUAUGAUUGUGUAGUAGUCCUAUUAUGUAUUCCGACCCUUAUAUUUUCCGGCUCUGGAUAGCCAUAUCCCUGAAGGGUAAAUAACAAUAUUCUCCUUCCAUGUCCUUGCAGACCGUUGGUCCAGUGCAUCGGGUGAAGUACCGAGCGUUUGAUCCAGGAAGAGCACCAAUACUCAAUACUACCAAUACUUACUUAUUACGACUUUCUGACCUUUCAUGUCGUGCAUAACAUGACAAACAAAUCUAUCCAUCUAACUAACAAAAAAAUUGCGACCGUUGAGCCGACCAUGUGUUCUCCUUGAAACUGGCUAAGCUUCAAUGUGGAUACAGUUAGAUCGAUUGACAAUUGGGAGUACGCGAGCGGCGACACCUUGACUAGCGUGGAGAGACAUGCACUGGAAUUUGAUUCAUCACAAAAAACCCCCCCAGUGUCUAGAACCCUUACCUGCACACAAUGUCAAAUUUCCAAUCGCCGAGAUUUGUGUCCAUUUUAUCCACUGUGAACACAAGACCCUUUUUCUGUGCUCAUACGUAACCAUCAGUCCGGUAACUCUAGUCAUAGCGUAUCAUAUCGGUGUCCCAGCACAUGGACCUCUGGAUUAGGGUUCUGCACUACUGUACUGCUGAUGUCGGUAGUGGUACGUAGUUUGGUGGGAAAUGAAGAUUAACACGAGCAAAGCGUUCCUUCCUCAGUGGGUGAGCCAUCCGAAGAUUGACUGAUCAUAUUUGUGUCUCGAGAGAUGUGAGAUGUACAGGUUCGAGUAGGUUGGUUACUUGUUAUGGAAGGUGUGUGGCUUUAACGCCUUUGUUUGUCUAC